CAAAUUAAAGCUAAGUAGCAUUAUUAUUUACAUUAAUAAUAUGGUUGUGAGAUCCAGCCUAAUUUGA
rnacentral:tRNA from 2 species